rnacentral:rRNA from 1 species
UGGGGAAUUUUGGACAAUGGGCGCAAGCCUGAUCCAGCCAUGCCGCGUGUCUGAAGAAGGCCUUCGGGUUGUAAAGGACUUUUGUCAGGGAAGAAAAGGCUGUUGCUAAUAUCAGCGGCUGAUGACGGUACCUGAAGAAUAAGCACCGGCUAACUACGUGCCAGCAGCCGCGGUAAUACGUAGGGUGCAAGCGUUAAUCGGAAUUACUGGGCGUAAAGCGAGCGCAGACGGUUACUUAAGCAGGAUGUGAAAUCCCCGGGCUCAACCUGGGAACUGCGUUCUGAACUGGGUGACUAGAGUGUGUCAGAGGGAGGUAGAAUUCCACGUGUAGCAGUGAAAUGCGUAGAGAUGUGGAGGAAUACCGAUGGCGAAGGCAGCCUCCUGGGAUAACACUGACGUUCAUGCUCGAAAGCGUGGGUAGCAAACAGGAUUAGAUACCCUGGUAGUCCACGCCCUAAACGAUGUCAAUUAGCUGUUGGGCAACUUGAUUGUUCAGUAGCGUAGCUAACGCGUGAANNNNACCGCCUGGGGAGUACGGUCGCAAGAUUA